AGAAUCAACGCUGGCGGCGUGCCUAACACAUGCAAGUCGUACGCGAAAGUCCCGCAAGGGAUGAGUAGAGUGGCAAACGGGUGAGUAACACGUGGGUGACCUGCCUUCGAGUGAGGAAUAACGUCCCGAAAGGGACGCUAAUACCGCAUGACAUCCUGCUUUUAGAAAAGCGGAGAUUAAAGCCGAGGAUCGCAAGACCUGGCGCUUGAAGAGGGGCCCGCGCCUGAUUAGCUAGUUGGUAGGAUAAUGGCCUACCAAGACUACGAUCAGUAGCCGGCCUGAGAGGGCGACGGCCACGACUGGACUGAGACGACGGCCAGACUCCUACGGGAGGCAGCAGUGGGAAUUGUUCGCAAGUGAGCGCAAGCCUGACGACGCAACGCCGCGUGGAGGAUGGAAGACGUUUUUUCGGAGUUACGUAAACUCCGUUAGUCGA
rnacentral:rRNA from 1 species